AGAGUUUGAUCAUGGCUCAGAAUCAACGCUGGCGGCGCGCUUAACACAUGCAAGUCGCACGAGAAAGUGGAGCAAUCCAUGAGUAAAGUGGCGUACGGGUGAGUAACACGUGGAUCAUCUACCUCCUAGUGGGGAAUAACCCUGGGAAACCGGGGCUAAUACCGCAUAAGCCUGGAAAGGGAAAGCAGCAAUGCGCUGGGAGAGGAGUCCGCGGCCGAUUAGCUAGUUGGUAGGGUAAAGGCCUACCAAGGCAAUGAUCGGUAGCCGGCCUGAGAGGGCACACGGCCACACUGGCACUGAAACACGGGCCAGACUCCUACGGGAGGCAGCAGUGGGGAAUCUUGCACAAUGGGGGCAACCCUGAUGCAGCGACGCCGCGUGAGCGAUGAAGCCCUUCGGGGUGUAAAGCUCUUUCGGCAGGAACGAUAAUGACGGUACCUGAAGAAGAAGCUGCGGCUAACUACGUGCCAGCAGCCGCGGUAAUACGUAGGCAGCAAGCGUUGUUCGGAGUUACUGGGCGUAAAGAGUGGGUAGGCGGUUCUCUAAGUUCGGUGUGAAAUCUCCCGGCUCAACUGGGAGGGUGCGCCGGAAACUGGAGGGCUGGAGUAUGGGAAGGGAAAGCGGAAUUCCUGGUGUAGCGGUGAAAUGCGUAGAUAUCAGGAGGAACACCUGUGGUGAAGACGGCUUUCUGGACCAUCACUGACGCUGAGACACGAAAGCGUGGGUAGCAAACAGGAUUAGAUACCCUGGUAGUCCACGCCCUAAACGAUGCAUACUUGGUGUGAGCCGUUCAUUCGGUUCGUGCCGGAGCUAACGCGUUAAGUAUGCCGCCUGGGGAGUACGGUCGCAAGGCUGAAACUCAAAGGAAUUGACGGGGCCCGCACAAGCGGUGGAGCAUGUGGUUCAAUUCGACGCAACGCGAAGAACCUUACCUGGGCUCGAACGGCUUCUCAACGGCGGUGGAAACAUCGCU
rnacentral:rRNA from 1 species